rnacentral:rRNA from 1 species
UACGUAGGGUGCGAGCGUUAAUCGGAAUUACUGGGCGUAAAGCGCACGUAGGCGGCCUGUUAAGUCGGGUGUGAAAGCCCUGGGCUCAACCCAGGAAGUGCACUCGAAACUGGCGGGCUUGAAUAUGGAAGAGGGUCGCGGAAUUCCGGUGUAGAGGUGAAAUUCGUAGAUAUCGGGAGGAACACCAGUGGCGAAGGCGGCCGACCUGGGCCAAUAUUGACGCU